GACAGCAUCCCCUUCCUCUUGGUCCCUCUCCCCCCCGCCGCCACCCCCGCUCCGGCAGUGUGCAGGCCGGCGCCCACAGGUCCUGGCCGGGCUGGGCCGGCCACUUAUCACUGCCCCUUGCAUCGCAGUUCGGAAGCUCCGGAACCCUGCGUGUCCUUUCCCCCUCACCUAUUCCGGAGCGCUGCCGGCUUCGCUCUCACUGGGCCCGCCAGUUUGGUCCCGUUUCUUUCUCUAGUUAAGACUCCUUGCCAGCGGCCUCACUUUUCGGCCUUUUCACAUAUGCAUAUUUGGGGGGGCCCUUACCCCCCCUCACGGAGAAAUGGAGGCAAUAAAAUGGCGGACCCGGAAGUGAAGGCGCUGUGACUAUACGUCCUGGCGGAGGAAUCUGAAGGAAAUGGGUUAGCGGAGCCACUUUGCCCUUCUCUCAGGACCUCAACGCACCUCUGAGUCCGACUCCUUCCUACUGAGGACCUCGUGAGCUGGAAAAACGUAUACCGCGGGCAUCCUGAGCGGGACUACUUAGCGAGGCGCAGGAUCACCGAUUACGUGGCUUACGUGAGGGAUAGUUCCGGCAGGGGACGGACGCAGAUGGUAGUUUUGGCGCCAACCAGUGCAGCGCUCGGAGGAACUGGUUACUGGAAUUAUCCUCAUAGUGAAGUUUCCCUGUGAAGACUCAAAUCUGAUUUUCUGAGCAUUUCUACCCACAGCUGGAAGCAGAGCUGGAUAUUAAAGGAGCUACCUCUGAAACGGUGCGAUGUUUUUCCUCAUCCCACUCCUUUGUUUCCCACCUUUAACUGCCUGCGUGUUUCUGGGGAAGAGAAUGCAUUGUAAGCAGCAGCAGCAUUUCUUAUCUUAGCCUUUUAGAAAUCCUGUUUUGUAGAAAGUGUCUCAAAACUUCCAGGUUCUCAUUACUUCUUGAAGCAGUAUUUGCUUACUGGCCUGGUAGAGGACAUUAGGGAGGCUCAAGUAAUCUUUGAAGUUGAUUAAAAUGUAACAAACAAACAAAA
rnacentral:lncRNA from 1 species